UAUAUUUCCAACUUUGCCCUCAAUUUACAAACCAAGUCAACCAAGAAAAAACUUGACCAAACUAAAUUUUCAAGCAACACUGAUAAUGCUAUCCCCACCCCCACCAUUAUACUUCCCUGCAGCCAUGGUUUUAAAAGUCGAUGAUGAAGCCGAUGACGAUGAAUGGCCGCUGCUUUCCGGUGAAUGAUCCUCCGAUGGAGGUGAAGGUUGCAGUUUCAAUGACAAUGGAAAAGGCUC
rnacentral:lncRNA from 1 species